rnacentral:sRNA from 1 species
GAUCCAAUGAUAUAAUAUAUCUUGCAGUAGUAAAGUGAGAAAGAUGGUGGCUAACUCCUCAUUAGGGGGUGAUGCCUAUGGUUAAAGGUUUUACUCCUAGAAAGGAAUAACCGUGUCUGUGUAUGAAGCACUGACGUUUGCGGUAGUUUUUGCUACCCUCGUCGUGUUGAUUCUAGACUUUAA